rnacentral:rRNA from 1 species
CGCCUUGCCAGCCCGCUCAGAAACUUAAGGAAUUGACGGGGCCGCACAAGCGGAGGAGCAUGUGGUUUAAUUCGAUGAUACGCGAGGAACCUUACCUGGGCUCGAACGUAAGAUGACUGUAGGUGAAAGCUUACAUCUCUUCGGAGCAUUUUACGAGGUGCUGCAUGGUUGUCGUCAGCUCGUGCCGUGAGGUGUCGGGUUAAGUCCCAUAACGAGCGCAACCCCUACCUUUAGUUGCCAUCAGGUUAAGCUGGGGACUCUAAAGGAACUGCCUACGCAAGUAGUGAGGAAGGCGGGGAUGACGUCAAAUCAGCACGGCCCUUACGUCCAGGGCUACACACGUGCUACAAUGGCCGAUACAGAGGGCAGCUACCUGGUGACAGGAUGCAAAUCUCCAAAGUCGGUCUCAGUUCGGAUCGGAGUCUGCAACCCGACUCCGUGAAGUUGGAUUCGCUAGUAAUCGCGCAUCAGCCAUGGCGCGGUGAAUACGUUCCCGGGCCUU